UGGGGAAUAUUGGACAAUGGGCGAAAGCCUGAUCCAGCCAUGCCGCGUGUGUGAAGAAGGUCUUCGGAUUGUAAAGCACUUUAAGUUGGGAGGAAGGGCAUUAACCUAAUACGUUAGUGUUUUGACGUUACCGACAGAAUAAGCACCGGCUAACUCUGUGCCAGCAGCCGCGGUAAUACAGAGGGUGCAAGCGUUAAUCGGAAUUACUGGGCGUAAAGCGCGCGUAGGUGGUUUGUUAAGUUGGAUGUGAAAUCCCCGGGCUCAACCUGGGAACUGCAUUCAAAACUGACUGACUAGAGUAUGGUAGAGGGUGGUGGAAUUUCCUGUGUAGCGGUGAAAUGCGUAGAUAUAGGAAGGAACACCAGUGGCGAAGGCGACCACCUGGACUAAUACUGACACUGAGGUGCGAAAGCAUGGGGAGCAAACA
rnacentral:rRNA from 1 species